UACGAAGGGGGCUAGCGUUGCUCGGAAUCACUGGGCUUAAAGGGCGCGUAGGCGGCUUCGCAAGUCAGGGGUGAAAUCUUUCGGCUCAACCGGAAAAGUGCCUCUGAUACUGCGGAGCUCGAGGGAGGUAGGGGCAGACGGAACUUCCGGUGGAGCGGUGAAAUGCGUUGAUAUCGGAAGGAACGCCGGUGGCGAAAGCGGUCUGCUGGCCCUCUACUGACGCUGAGGCGCGAAAGCCAGGGGAGCAAACGGG
rnacentral:rRNA from 1 species